rnacentral:rRNA from 1 species
UACGGGGGGUGCAAGCGUUGUUCGGAAUUAUUGGGCGUAAAGCGUGCGUAGGCGGACUGUUAAGUCAGGUGUGUAAGCCCGUGGCUCAACCACGGAAUUGCAUCUGAAACUGCUCGACUUGAGUGCAGGAGAGGAAAGCGGAAUUCUCAGUGUAGCGGUGAAAUGCAUUGAUAUUGGGAGGAACAUCUGUGGCGAAGGCGGCUUUCUGGUCUGUUACUGACGCUGAGAUACGAAAGCCAGGGGAGCGAACGGG